rnacentral:rRNA from 1 species
GUGGGGAAUAUUGGACAAUGGGCGCAAGCCUGAUCCAGCCAUACCGCGUGGGUGAAGAAGGCCUUCGGGUUGUAAAGCCCUUUUGUUGGGAAAGAAAUCCUGUCGAUUAAUACUCGGUGGGGAUGACGGUACCCAAAGAAUAAGCACCGGCUAACUUCGUGCCAGCAGCCGCGGUAAUACGAAGGGUGCAAGCGUUACUCGGAAUUACUGGGCGUAAAGCGUGCGUAGGUGGUGGUUUAAGUCUGCUGUGAAAGCCCUGGGCUCAACCUGGGAAUUGCAGUGGUUAAUGGAGCACUAGAGUGUGGUAGAGGGAGGAGGAAUUUCUGGUGUAGCAGUGAAAUGCGUAGAGAUCAGAAGGAACAUCCGUGGCGAAGGCGGCAUCCUGGGCCAACACUGACACUGAGGCACGAAAGCGUGGGGAGCAAACAGGAUUAGAUACCCCAGUAGUCC